rnacentral:rRNA from 1 species
AGCAAUACUUCCGCCGGCGACCGGCGCACGGGUGAGUAACACGUAUGGAACCUGCCCGUAGCAGGGGGAUAAACGGAAGAAAUUCCGUCUAAUACCGCGUAAUAACUCCGAGAGGCAUCUCAUGAGUUUAAAGGGUAACACCGGCUACGGAUGGCCAUGCGGCGCAUUAGCUAGUUGGCGGGGUAACGGCCCACCAAGGCGACGAUGCGUAGGGGUUCUGAGAGGAAGGUCCCCCACACUGGUACUGAGACACGGACCAGACUCCUACGGGAGGCAGCAGUGAGGAAUAUUGGUCAAUGGGCGCGAGCCUGAACCAGCCAAGUCGCGUGAGGGAAGACGGUCCUAUGGAUUGUAAACCUCUUUUGUCGGGGAGCAAAAGACGCCACGUGUGGCGUUCCGAGAGUACCCGAAGAAAAAGCAUCGGCUAACUCCGUGCCAGCAGCCGCGGUAAUACGGAGGAUGCGAGCGUUAUCCGGAUUUAUUGGGUUUAAAGGGUGCGCAGGCGGAAGAUCAAGUCAGCGGUAAAAUUGAGAGGCUCAACCUCUUCGAGCCGUUGAAACUGGUUUUCUUGAGUGAGCGAGAAGUAUGCGGAAUGCGUGGUGUAGCGGUGAAAUGCAUAGAUAUCACGCAGAACUCCGAUUGCGAAGGCAGCAUACCGGCGCUCAACUGACGCUCAUGCACGAAAGUGUGGGUAUCGAACAGGAUUAGAUACCCUGGUAGUCCACACAGUAAACGAUGAAUACUAAUUGUUCGGGGAGAAUGAUCCCUGAGUGAUACAGCGAAAGCGUUAAGUAUUCCACCUGGGGAGUACGCCGGCAACGGU